rnacentral:lncRNA from 1 species
AUGGCUUGAAUUACUGACAUAAUCCCAGCUUGAACAGGAAACAUCAGCAUAUGAUACAGAAGUCCAUUUAUUUCAAACUUUAUUUGUGGCAUAAAGCCAAUGACUUCUGGGAUCUGUUACAGAAGCAUGUGAUUUCUAGCUUAACAUGGAUCAUGAUGUGGCACCAGGAUUCUUAGUAAUGGGCAAGUUCCCAUCAUAAGUGGAUUUGAAGACAUCUGGUUUCCUCACAAGGCGAGGUCCAGUUGGUACCUUGUUAUUUUUAGGACGGAUAUCCUGCAAAAACAUGAAAACCCCAUGACUGUAAGCAACAAUAACAACAAUAAAUUUUAAAAAUGUUAGUCCUUCAUCUUGUGAAUCAGGUGAUUUUUCGAGAAUAGAUAAUGAUCUCUAGCUUUUUGCUUAAUAAUACAAGAAGUUUCUAUAUCUGGUUUUCAGGAAAUGAUGAUUGUAGUUUUCCUUCUGAUGACGAGUGUUUAUUGAUGUGCAAAUAAUAAUCAUAUGAUAAAUAUGUCAUUAAUUUUAAUCCAUGCAAUAAUGUGUGGUGUCCGACCUGCAGAAUCAAUAAUGAAACUUAGAAACUACUCACAUAAGCGUCUCCCCAGAAUUGACUAUGGCUUUAAAAUUGAUUAUAGAAGCAUAUACAAAGUACAAACAUGCACUUAAUGAAAAAUGAUAGUUUCAUGUUUAGGAAUAUUGUAAAUAGAUUCUAUUUGGUAGAUUACAGAAGUCAAUGAUAAGCUGAUGAAUCUUUACAAUAGGGGGACAGACAUAAUUUACCUGGUCAAAUAUAGCUGUUGGGAUGGCCAGAGUGGCACAAGCAUUGGGGGCAUCCACUAUUGAAGAGAUUCUUCCUUCACAAGGAAUGCAAGACAGCAGAAGAUACACCUGAUGUUCAACAUAUAGCAAUUAGUAACAGGUUACAUUUUUUUGUCUUUAGGUAAUAUAGAAAUUAUAUAACAUAAAAGAUCCCUUUUCUUAUCAGGAAAGGGGAAAUAAGUAUGCUGGGACUGCUAAGUUCAUGUUUGAAAACCCCUUCAAUACUUGAUUCUGAAAGCAGAAUCGGGAGAAACUUCUAUGAGUAGCUAAAUUCUGAAAACAGAAUCAAUUCUGAUCAAAACUUGCUACAAGUAUACCUGUUCUUUGGAGUAACCAAACUUGGAUAUGUAGUCAAUGGCAUUGAGCACUGCUCGCUUGAACGCAACAGUUGCAUCUAGGUAGUGCUGCUUCCCUCUUUCAUCCACACUGAUGCCCUCAAACACCAGCCACUCUGAGAAGCUUGGUUCAACAGGACCUAUCUCAAAUAUUGGGUUAACAUGAAGGGGAGUAGGCCCCAUUGGUGUAAGGUACUCUUUCAUUCCACCUCUAAAAAUUUCACACCUGAUAACAUAAAAAACGGUAUCAGCUUAAAGUGUUGUAGUGUGCCUACUUUCUGCUCAGGAGAUUUAAGUGCACAAAUGGAACACGAUAUAGCAUGAUUGGAUCAACUUCUCUCAAACGCAGAAGCUAAUCAAAUAAGCGUCUUCUCAGAAUUGAUUCUGAUUUUAGAAUCAAUUGUGGAAGGAUUUCCAAACAUGCACGUAGCUGAUAUUUGAGUUACUGAAGUUACUCACUUUAGUUCUAGGAAACCGCUCAUCUCUAUUGCACCACAUAACGAGACCUCGCCAUCACCCUGUGAGAAAUGCAUGUCGCCAGUGCUAAAAUUUGCUCCUUCUACAAAAACUGGAAG